GUACUGCAAGGAGUCUGAUUUGUAGGGCAUUUGGAUAAAACGAAAUGUAAUGUCUCAUUCAUUACAUAUUGCGUGCAUUUGUGAUGGGGAUUGGGAAUCACAAUUAUUCCCCAUGAAUGAGAAAUUCCCAGUAAGUGUGGAGCAUAAACUUGCUUUGAUUAAGUCCCUGC
rnacentral:ncRNA from 1 species